UGGCCACAUCACGUUGAAACAUAGGUUCUCGUACGAUCAUCGAAGUUAAGCAAUGUCGGGCUUGGUCAGUACCUAGAUGGGUGACAGCUUGGGAAUACCAGGUGCUGCAAG